ACGGCGUCGUUGCCUCCGGUGGUCGCUGCUAGCCGGCGAUCAUAGCUUUCAUCUAACUUUCGUUAAAGAGAAAAAAAGGCAAUAAUGGGCAACGGUCUGACUCCAUAUUCAGAAAUCGGCAGGCGCGCUAGAGGCACUUACAGCUACUGGUAUAAAGAAGGAUCAAUAUUAGUUGGUGACCUAAGUACACAGUACAGAAGUAGAAAAACUAAACUACUGUUGAUGUUAAAGUUUACACCUAUUCGAAAGUUUCGACAAAGGUGACUUGUGAUGUGGUGCCUGGAACAAAAGCAGCUAUCAGCUUUAAUGUUCCUGAUAACAAGUCCGGGAAGCUUGAUGUACGUUAUCGAUGCCAGUAUUGGUCUGAACCCAAGUCCUCUUCUGGAAGUUGCUGCAGGAAUUGGCUCCAAGGAUAUAGCUAUUGGUGAUUAAGUGGGGUUUGACACCUCAUCUUCAUCCGUUACAAAGUGCAAUGCUGGAAUAAGCUUCAACAAUCCCGACUUUUCUGCAGCUGUUUUACUGUUUUUUGCAGGGAAAUGAAAGGUCUUGCAAUGGAAUUAAAAAUUUUGCAGAGGAUUGUAAUAUCAAUUUUAACUUCAUGUAAUGGGCCUUUGAUUUCUUAUAUUCUGAAUUGCUCAAAGUAGCACCGUAACUAUUUGAGUUUUUUUUUUUUUUUUUUCUAGAGAUAGUUGAUUUUAAUUUUUAUUUUUGGAGUUUAGGAAUUUGAUCAUGGGAUUGCACGUAAUUAAUUAUUAUGUGUGACAUAUGCUUCAUUUUUUUUUA